rnacentral:rRNA from 1 species
CUCAGGAUGAACGCUAGCGGCAGGCCUAAUACAUGCAAGUCAAACGGAGUUGGGUAGCAAUACCUAGCUUAGUGGCGCACGGGUGCGUAACGCGUAUGCAACCUACCUUUUACUGGGGGAUAGCCCGUCGAAAGACGGAUUAAUACCGCAUGAUACUAUUUGAGGGCAUCUGAGGAUAGUUAAAGAUUUAUUGGUAAAAGAUGGGCAUGCGUGCCAUUAGCUAGUUGGUUGAGGUAACGGCUCACCAAGGCUACGAUGGCUAGGGGUUCUGAGAGGAUGAUCCCCCACACUGGUACUGAGAUACGGACCAGACUCCUACGGGAGGCAGCAGUAGGGAAUAUUGGGCAAUGGCGGAAACGCUGACCCAGCCAUGCCGCGUGCAGGAUGAAGGCCUUCUGGGUUGUAAACUGCUUUUAUCUAGGAAGAAAACACCCUUGCGAGGGGAACUGACGGUACUAGGUGAAUAAGCACCGGCUAACUCCGUGCCAGCAGCCGCGGUAAUACGGAGGGUGCAAGCGUUGUCCGGAUUUAUUGGGUUUAAAGGGUGCGUAGGCGGCCCUGUAAGUCCGUGGUGAAAGCCAACAGCUCAACUGUUGAACUGCCAUGGAUACUGCAGGGCUUGAGUACAGACGAGGUAGGCGGAAUGGAUAGUGUAGCGGUGAAAUGCAUAGAUACUAUCCAGAACACCGAUUGCGUAGCAGCUUACUAGGCUGUAACUGACGCUGAGGCACGAAAGCG